GACAGUGACUUGCUAUGCGCCCUCUGGGGACUAGGCUGAUCAAAGACGACCCCCAUCUCCAGUCUAAUUGGGCCAUAGGUAGAAAAGAAAGACACGGCCGAGUUUUCUGUGAGAGGUGGCUGCCAUACGCUCGCUCACCUCUGGACUCCUGGCUCCUCUCCUAUUCAGGUGGGAGGUAGCUCAUCGUUUCUGGAUGACAGAGCACAACGCAGGAUCCAUGCUGACGAAGAGCUAGACCCAAACCAAAAGGAGUGUGAAUGGUCGUCUUUCUAAAUUGUACUUCAAGCAUACCAGGUGACUGUGGCUGAAACAUUCACUGUGUCUGCAGUUCCGAGGAAAGCCCCCUUACUGCCCCACUCCCCUACCCCUUACUUGAUCUUGCUCUAGGAUUCAUUUUUGACUGGAGAGAGUGCCAGUCACACCAUCGGUCUUUUAGCCUGUUGAGUGGUGAUUUCUAAUAUCUAUUUGCUUGUUUGGAGACAGGGUCUCACAUUGUUAACUCUAGUUGGCCAGGAACUCAGAGCAAUCCUCCUGCAUCAGCUCCCCAGUGCUUGGAUUUCAUGCAUGAAUCAAAGCAUAGCUGUUUGUUUGUUUGUUUGUUUGUUUGUUUUCUCUAGUCAUCAGUGCCUCUUGCCAUGCAGAGGGGGCUAAGGAAGGCUCAGGAAGCUGACGGGGCCUGCCCCAGGCCUCUGUCCUACCUGAGGAAGGAGCUGAGCCUGGAGUGCAGCUCAAUUAGCCGUGGAGAUGAGGCUCUUUUCACAGAGUCCAGCAUGACCUGGGACUGAAUUAGCCUCAGUAGGCAUGCCGCCAUGUCAGGAGAGGGAGGGAUUCCAGGGGGAAAGGUACAAGGAGAGGCAGAUUUUCCCUUCCCUCUCCAAAGACAGUAAAGGCAGUCUGCUUCUCUGUA
rnacentral:lncRNA from 1 species